GCACACUUCAAAGGUGGCUCUCUUGGAAGCUCCUUCUACAAAUCCAACAUCUCAAAACAAGCAUAAUUUGGUAGCCUAUUUUUAUGUUAUCUUGCUCUAUUCAUUUCUAUUCUAUCACAUAAUUACAUCGAUAUUUUGCAUUUUUGUUAUAUAUUCAGUUUAAACAGAUCCCAACUACUGAUGUAACUUUGUCUGAAACAAGCUUUAUGAAUACACCAUCUAAAAGGGAUGUUGUCGCCAUAGCAUAUAAUGAUUUGUAUAUAACCAUGUAUCUCACACCAUAAAAUCCGGCGACAACAGUGAAACACAUGAAUAAGGAGUGAUAUAAAUGAGUCACUUGGAACAUUGAGAACCUCUAUUUGGAACAUUGAUACGUCACCUAUAUAUCUUGUCUUUCAAGUUUUUUUGUAAUGAUCCUUAACAUUGAUAACCUCUAUUAUGUUUGCAUACCAUUUCCCUACCGUGUUUAGUUAUUAUUUAAGCUUUCAAAACAAACAUUUACAUUUAUCCACAACUCCAAUUUAUGUUUAAUAGUGAAGUUUGUGAACCACCUCAUGGUCUUUUUAAUUAUCAGUCACAAUGUUAUUGACAUCAAUCUUUGUGGUGUGAGAUGCAUGAACAAAUAUCCUAAAAAGGUCACUCAUGAACA
rnacentral:lncRNA from 1 species